rnacentral:rRNA from 1 species
UCGAACGAGGCUGGGGGGGCAACUCCUCAGUCGAGUGGCGGACGGGUGAGUAACACGUGGGUAACCUGCCCGGAAGUGGGGAAUACCUCGGGGAAACUCGAGCUAAUACCGCAUGACAUCUUCGGGACGAAAGUCCUGACGAUCAAAGCGGGGUCGCAAGAUCUCGCGCUACCGGAUGGGCCCGCGCCCGAUUAGCUAGUUGGUGAGGUAACGGCUCACCAAGGCUUCGAUCGGUAACCGGCCUGAGAGGGCGAUCGGUCACACCGGAACUGAGACACGGUCCGGACUCCUACGGGAGGCAGCAGUGGGGAAUCUUGCGCAAUGGGCGAAAGCCUGACGCAGCAACGCCGCGUGGAGGAUGAAGGCCCUUGGGUUGUAAACUCCUGUCGGCUGGGAAGAAAUCGUUCGCGGCUAAUACCUGCGGACGUUGACUGUACCAGCAAAGGAAGCCCCGGCUAACUCUGUGCCAGCAGCCGCGGUAAUACAGAGGGGGCCAGCGUUAUUCGGAAUUAUUGGGCGUAAAGGGCGCGUAGGCGGCCAUGCGUGUCUCCCGUGAAAUCCCUCGGCUUAACUGAGGACGUGCGGGGGAAACUGCAAGGCUCGAGUCCGGGAGAGGGGGGUGGAAUUCCCAGUGUAGCGGUGAAAUGCGUAGAUAUUGGGAGGAACACCGGUGGCGAAGGCGGCCCCCUGGACCGGAACUGACGCUGAUGCGCGAAAGCGUGGGUAGCAAACGGGAUUAGAUACCCCGGUAGUCCACGCCGUAAACGAUGGGCACUUGGUGUCGCGGGUAUCGAC